AAGCUGUCAUAUGCUUGCACCUGGAAUCAGCUUGCAGUUCUGGUUUCUGAAUUCAUUCAUUUAUUCAUUCGUAUUUAUUAAACACUUACUGUGUGCCGAGCACUUACUUAGUACUUGGGAGAGUACAGUAUAACAAUAAACAGACACAGUCCCUGCCCACAAUGAGCUUAAAGUCUAGAGGCCUUUAGAAAGGACACGAUAGAGCCGGAGAAAGUACAGGAGGCAGGCAUCCAAGUUGUUUAGGGAAAUGGAAAUACCUUUGUUUCUCAUGGCCUUAACCUCACAUUGCUCCAUUCUUUCCAUCACAGAAACCUUCUUCUCUGGCCCCCCAGGUCCACCUGGUCCCCCUGGUCCAAAAGGAGAUCAUGGUGCCCCUGGACCUCGAGGAUUCCAAGGUAAAGAGGGGGAGAAGGUUCUGCUUCUCAUGCGUGGCCACGAGGGAGGCAGGAGUGUCUCUAAAGAACUUGGGACUCCUUAGUGAUGGUCUUUGUGUGUGGCAUAGGUGUGUGGGUGAUAUCUUGGUAGUGACACGGGGUGCCAAAGGCCAUACUGCAGCAUUUUGAGGAGAGAGGCGAGGUGAGGUGGGACAGGGCUCUGAGCCCCCUUGCUCCACAAAGAUGUCACAAAUGAUCUGAAGCCUGUUCCCGGUCACCUCUAACCUCCCUGCCUCAGAGUCGCACACUCAGCAGAAGUGGAAUUGAGGGGGGAGGUUGAGUAGGACAGGUAGAGGUAAAGGUGCCAGACCACUUUGGGAGAGGAGGAGCUGUUCAGAGCUGAGGAUGCGGGCUGGGGAGCAGUGUGGUCUAUUAGACAAUACUUGAGCCCCCGACUCAGAGGACCUCGAUUCUCAUCUCACCUCCGCUUGUUUUCUGUAUGAUUUUGGGCACGUCAUUUCAUUUCUCUGUGCCUCAUCUCUAACUGGUCUGGUCCAAUCUGAUGAUCUUGUAUCUACUCCUGUGCUUAUAUAAUGCUUGACACACAGUAAACGCUUAAUAAAUACUUUUAAAAAGCAAGCAUUAAGCGGGA
rnacentral:lncRNA from 1 species